rnacentral:lncRNA from 1 species
CUAUUACAAAAUUUAAUAUGUAUAAAUAAAUUGUUGUAUUUUUAAAAUUAUUAAUAUUUAAAAAAUAAAAAUAAAAACUUGCCAAUGGUGGACCGCGGAGCACUUGAUUAAAUCUUUCCCUUUUCUUAAGUUUCUACCAAGACCAACCUUGGAAGACUAAAAUAGCCGGUGAACCGGUGCGUUUUAUGUCCCUGGAGAGGAAGAGGAGAGACGAUACACUGAAAUUAUUUCUACCACAUCAACGGUGAAAUGAACCAAUACUACGAAAACACGUUGACUAACUGACUGCGCGGCUUACUUAGACUCGACCUCACCGGAUAAUUUCUCGUCCGAAGCGAUAGGCAUUUCCCUUAAUUAGACGACACGUGGCAACCAUCGGAGAGAAGAUAUGGCAUGAGGUUUUGGUGCAUUUUCAGGGAGCUUAAGUGGCCAAUGGUGAGUCCCCCAUGAUGGGCAAAGCAGGUAGCAAGAAGAUAUUUAAAGAUGGGCCCCACCAUACCAUUUUUACAUGUACGUAUUUUUAGCGCCCACCAAACGUUGCUUUUUCUCCUCCAGAUAUUUUCUCGCCUUUUUAGUCUUCCAUACAUUUCGCUCACACCGAAUCCUCUUUCUUGGAAUUUGACUUUCUUUGUUGAUUGAUAGUGUUUGGGUUCGUUCGGGCAGUUUUUUUUUUACUAUAUUAAUAUUGACUUUUCAAUUAAUAUUUGAUGUUAUAAUUCAUGUACGAACUAAAAUAAAUAAAAAAGGGUAAUUAAAAGUUGAAGAAGACAUAAUAUUAUAUAUGUAAAGUAUAUAUGUGUAUGUAUAUAAUUCUGUCCAAGGUAUGAUGGAAGGAUUAUUGACGUGCAAGAUCCUUAGGAUUGGAAUGACAAAG